rnacentral:rRNA from 1 species
UACAGAGGUGCCAAGCGUUAGGCGGAAUCACUGGGCUUAAAGCGCGUGUAGGUGGGUCGUUAAGUGUCCGCGUGAAAUCCCACGGCUCAACCGUGGAACUGCCGGGCAUACUGGCGAUCUUGAGGCAUUCAGGGGCGAGCGGAACAAAUGGUGGAGCGGUGAAAUGCGUAGAUAUCGGGAGGAACACCUGUGGCGAAAGCGGCUCACUGGACCAUAACUGACGCUGAUGCACGAAAGCUGGGGGAGCAAACAGG